GUGCAUGCUUCAGCAGCACGUAUACUGAAAUUGGAGCGAUACAGAGAAGCUUAGCAUGGCCUCUGUGCAAGGAUGACACAAAUUCAUGAAGCAUUCCAUAUAAUU